CACCUAAAUGUCCACUGUGUGUCUAUAAUGGCUACUGAGCAAAACUUCUCCACUCACUUUGGUGAGGCUGGGAGCUGGGGGUGUCAUUAGUGAGCAAAGCAAAUGCCGGCACCUCAGCAGGAAAAAAGACUGCUCAAGGGGGAAAAAGGAAAUGCACUAAUCUCUCAGAGCAUCCUUUUCUCUCUCCACUGUCUCUACCCUGAGAAACACACAGCCUUGCUAUGUCUCAGUACUUCAGGUCAUAUUAAUACUCUGUUUUCCCAACCAAAAAACUAAUAAUACAACACACUUUUCCUUCUACCUUGUUUAUCUAGAUCAGUCACCCUCUACCUCCCAGUGUAGCAACUGCCAACUAACCGAGAAAGGCUUGCUUGCUGAGACCAAUGGUCGAGGGUUGUGUUAAGGCCCGGCUCUCGAAAGGAGCAGGUGCACGUUGGGAGAUGGAAUGUUAGAGGAGAGAUUUGCCAUGGAGUCUGCCUCAUUCCUCUCACCCCUUUGGAAUUCUUCCAUUCUGUGAGCUACCACAGACAGUGAUGAAAAGGCUUUACCAACGUAAUGGUGCCGCCAUGACAAUAUGCGCACGGAACACGUUGCAGAGGCUCAACUCGAAGGCGCCUUGGAGGCCAGCAAGAGAUGUUGAACAUGCACUUCUCCCUACAUUCGUCCCAUCAAGGUUGCUACAAGAUAUUAAAUCUAUACAGAAGAAAUUUGUUGUACACAUUUUAAUUUUUAAUAUGUGUUUGAUAUCAUGGGAACAACAACAAAAGGGGCCAGUGUGGUCCCAAGGUCAAGAAAAAUAGCUGUAGCACAUCGAUUUCUGUUCGAAGAUGAUUAUCGCUGUGAAACCCACUGUCAGGAGUCUCAGCCCAGCUCAGGGGAAAGAAAUCUCUUGUUCUGCAGAGUCUGUUCAGUCUGGCCUGGGAACCCACUGUCACCUGUUCUGGGAGCUAGAGUAGUCUGCUCAUUUUCGUUCUGCAUCUUGCCAAGCUGGUGACACCUUACUACCCUUUUUAAUGAAAUAUCCACAAUGAGGUAAAGUGCGCUGCAGCAGAAUCCUCUCCCACUUCCCAAACAAUGGGGAAACUACAACUCUCUAAGGAUCCCUGUCCUGCCUCUCAACUGCAGUGUCUGUCCAAUGCCAGGUGCAUGCGGUUCCACGUUUAACACGUCUUUUAAUCACUGCUGAGUGAAAUUAACAGAACUAUGAAGCAGCCAAAUGCACUUACACCCAUGAUAAACCUUCACAGAAGAAAACCAGGAUGGACAACAGCUAAUUCUGAUGGCGUUAGGGAGACUGGAGCCACGUGAAGUUCAUGGUCUUGCUUGGCUGUCAGAGGAUUUUAUACAAGGAAGACCUACAUCAUGGAAAACAGCAGUCAAGCAGCACUGAUUUCUGAGCUCACACCUAAGUGAAAUUUAUUCAUCUCAUUUCUUUGAUGAGCUGGAAGAAGACCAGGGGAGCAUUUUCCAAGAUGGAACCCAUGCAGAAUCUGUGUUUUCACAGAUACCGUGGUCACGUUCACUCCACGGUAUUACUAAGGCCUGGCAAACAGCCUCUACUUCCAUUCCUUGACUGGUUUAAAUAUAUGGUAGAGAAAUUUUACAUGACAGGUGGUUCACAAGACUCUAUUUAAUAGCCUACCUGUUACAGCCAAGAUGUAAUGAUUUUGGAGACUAACUUCUAGGAAAGACCUCCUUCCUAGUUUGAAAUCAUGAUGUCAAAUGAAGUUCUUCUUUUUUAAUUUUAGAUUUUGAAGUUUGUGUUACAAUUUAAAAUAUGUGUGUGUGUGAAAGUGUGGUUUUGAACUAAUAAUUGCUGACUGCUGUAGCCUGGCUAGAAGAAAAUUUAAGAGCCACCAAGCUAAAAUGGGACAUGAAAUGUCCCUGUUUUAUGGAUAUUCUUAUGUAAAGUAAAUUAAGGAAGUGACGAUUCAUUUUGCAUCUCGUGUGCUUUGAGCAGUUAAUUAUACUGUGAAAUCGGACUAAAAUUUUUCUAACUACAUAGAAUGAACCAAACACACUUCAACAAAAAUAAAUAAAAAUGCUAUUUAUAAUAUUUCCUUUUUCCUUAGUAGGUUUCAUCUGAUACACUUAGUAGGUUUCGUCUGAAAUAGUGCAUUGGCAACUGACAAGUAUGGAGUUUCCAAGCAAUGCUCCAUUUAAAUGUGCCUUGUGAAGCUGAUCAGACGCAAAACUGCAUGGGAGAAAGGGAGCAUGUAUUUCUGAAACUAUGAGUGAGUUUUCAUUAGAAAUUUAAUUUUGAAAGAUAUAAAAAGGGCUUUAAAAUAUACCAAAUGCUGGUGCAGGAUGGUAAUUUAUCAUAGGGCAUCGUGUUACAAUGCUAAGUGCCCACAAUAGAAAUUCUGUGCUCUACCACAAUUAGGUACAUGACUUUAAUAACGACAAGAGAAAGUCAACUAUUCUGGUCCUCAGCUUCUAUAACUGCAAAAAUAAAAGUUCAGCUAGUUGAUUUCAAGAUUCUGUUUCCAACAUUUUCUGAUUCAAUUUCCAAUUCUCUGAUUUUUUUACUAGAAAAAAUAUAUUCUCAUAAUCUUUAUUGUGAGUAGACAAUUGCUUUUUAAAGAAUCUUUUUAUUUUCUUUAAAGGGAAACAGCCUGAUUCCAGAGAGAUUUUUUUGGCUGGACAUCCCAUCAAAGCAGUCAUGAUGUCUUAGAAACCUGCCUACCUGAACCUUAAAGACUUUUCUAGCCAGAGGCAGAGUAUAGCUCACGCUAAAUUUUUUUUUCAAAUGUUUAAAUAAACAAAAAAACACACAAACUUACUAAGGAGCAGGGCAAAGAAGGUGGAAUCUAAAAAAAAAAAAAUAAAGAAGAAAGCUUCCAAGGGAGAAAGAUAAAGAUCCUCUAAUCAGAAUUUCCAUUUGUUUAGAAAAGUCUAUUAUCUGAAUUAUUCUCCAAGUGUUGAACAGUUUAGGAUUCUUAGACUCCCUUUGGUCCUUAUCUUUCUAUAUAAAUACGAGUUAUGAAAUGACAGUGGCCACUUUCUGUUUGGGCCUGUGCCGAUGGUUCUGUGAUGUGUGAACUCCUUGGAGCACCAGAAAGGGACAGUGAUUGAUGGCUGCGGCCAGUCUUCCAUACACAUGCAAAUUGUGUUUGCAUUAACAUUAAUAGUGUUUAGAUGUAGAAGGAAACAUCGCCUUUAUCAUUACAUAAUAAAAUGACAAUGAAUAUUAAUAAUUUCUAGAUUUAAAUGUAAAUUAAAACCACUGCAAUUAUUAAAACUUGUGAUGUCUGCUAUGGGUUUGUUCUUUGCCAUUCUCUGAAUCUAACAUUGUGUGGUUAUGCACAUUGAUAACCCCAGGAGGCACAUACAGGGGACUCUGAAUCUGUUACUAUGGAGACUAUUGGCCAUAUUUUAAAAGAAAAAGCAACCAUUAUUAUGCAUAAAUUUAAAUAUCAUUUUCCGUUUUUUAAGAAUUGUUACUGAAAAUUAAA